GAUGAACGCUGACAGAAUGCUUAACACAUGCAAGUCAACUUGAAUUUGGGUUUUUAACUUAGGUUUGGGUGGCGGACGGGUGAGUAACGCGUAAAGAACUUGCCUCACAGCUAGGGACAACAUUUGGAAACGAAUGCUAAUACCUAAUAUUAUGAUAAUAGGGCAUCCUAUAAUUAUGAAAGCUAUAAGCGCUGUGAGAGAGCUUUGCGUCCCAUUAGCUAGUUGGAGAGGUAACGGCUCACCAAGGCGAUGAUGGGUAGCCGGCCUGAGAGGGUGAUCGGCCCCAAGGGGACUGAGACACGGCCCUUACUCCUACGGGAGGCAGCAGUGGGGAAUAUUGGACAAUGGACCGAGAGUCUGAUCCAGCAAUUCUGUGUGCACGAUGAAGUUUUUCGGAAUGUAAAGUGCUUUCAGUUGGGAAGAGACAAAUGACGGUACCAACAGAAGAAGUGACGGCUAAAUACGUG
rnacentral:rRNA from 1 species